UCGGUGGUUCUUCAGCGAGGAGGCCACGACGAUCACCCGUGGGAGGGGGAAUGGUUCCAGCUCAUCAUGACGGCCAUGCAUGUACCUGAAGUGAUGGCUAAGAUGGACGGACGGCGUCGGAAUGGUCAUCUCUAUAGAACGCGUGCGGCGGAGCUCGUCAGUGUUGUAUAAGAAGGUGCCAAUCCGUCAAACUGACGGCACCAUCAUGCUCACGAGAUCACCACGAGCUCGUGUAAGGAGGUGGGCGAGGAAGAAUAGCACCAAAGCGAGUGGACAACCGAGGGGAUCCACUGCCAACUCCGGCGAGGAUCAGAGGAUGGAGGCCCUCCCGGCCUUGCCCUGAGCUACAAGAGUCGAUUUG
rnacentral:lncRNA from 1 species